rnacentral:lncRNA from 10 species
AGGAAAGGGCCCUGACAAGAGGAUGGGACUGCAGUUGUGGCUGCCAGAGUCUUGCUUUGUCGCCCAGGUUGGAGUGCAGUGGCACGAUCUCGGCUCAGUGCAACCUCCGCCUCCUGAGUUCAAGUGAUUCUCCUGCCUCAGCCUCCCUAGUAGCUGGGAUUACAGGACAAGGAGAGGGACAAAUUCCUUCUUGGCAUCCUUAUGGCCCUGUGACCUGCUAAUGAAUGCUGACUCUGAGUUGCUACUAGAAUUUGGUUUCCUUGUGGCUUCCCAGGAAUUGUGAGCCAUGUUGGAUAAGGACCUGCAAGGGAAGAAUGAGGAAGCCUGGGACAGUGCAGGAGGGGAGAGCACUGGUGGUAGAGAGGAGUGAUGACAAGGGUCUCCGCCAAAAGGGAAAUGGAGGGGUUAAAGAAGCUGCUGGGGAGGGUUAAAAACAAUGUGUUCUCACUCGUAGGUGGGAAUUGAACAAUGAGAACACUUGGACACAGGAAGGGGAACAUCACACACUGGGGCCUGUCGUGGGGUGUGGGGAGGGAGGAGGGAUAGCAUUAGGAGAUAUACCUAAUGUAAAUGAUGAGUUAAUGGGUGCAGCACACCAACAUGGCACAUGUAUACCUAUGUAACAAACCUGCACAUUGUGUACAUGUACCCUAGAACUUAAAGUAUAAUUAAAAAACAAAACAAAACAAAACAAAAACAA